rnacentral:rRNA from 1 species
AUUGAACGCUGGCGGCAGGCCUAACACAUGCAAGUCGAACGGUAACAGGAAGCAGCUUGCUGCUUUGCUGACGAGUGGCGGACGGGUGAGUAAUGUCUGGGAAACUGCCUGAUGGAGGGGGAUAACUACUGGAAACGGUAGCUAAUACCGCAUAACGUCGCAAGACCAAAGAGGGGGACCUUCGGGCCUCUUGCCAUCGGAUGUGCCCAGAUGGGAUUAGCUAGUAGGUGGGGUAAAGGCUCACCUAGGCGACGAUCCCUAGCUGGUCUGAGAGGAUGACCAGCCACACUGGAACUGAGACACGGUCCAGACUCCUACGGGAGGCAGCAGUGGGGAAUAUUGCACAAUGGGCGCAAGCCUGACGCAGCCAUGCCGCGUGUAUGAAGAAGGCCUUCGGGUUGUAAAGUACUUUCAGCGGGGAGGAAGGGAGUAAAGUUAAUACCUUUGCUCAUUGACGUUACCCGCAGAAGAAGCACCGGCUAACUCCGUG